rnacentral:rRNA from 1 species
UUGAUAUCAAAUUUCAUGGAUACCGUGGUAAUUCUAGAGCUAAUACAUGCUGUUAAGCCUGACUCUUAGGAAGGGCUGUAUUUAUUAGAUAACAAACCAAUAUUCCUCGUGUCUAUUGUGAUGACUCAUAAUAACUGAUCGAAUCGCAUGGACUUUGUCCGCGAUACAUCAUUCAAGUUUCUGCCCCAUCAGCUUUCGAUGGUAGUGUAUUGGACUACCAUGGCUUUAACGGGUAACGGAGGAUUAGGGUUCGAUUCCGGAGAGGGAGCCUGAGAAACGGCUACCACAUCUAAGGAAGGCAGCAGGCGCGUAAAUUACCCAAUCCUAAUUCAGGGAGGUAGUGACAAGAAAUAACGGACUGAGGCCUACGCUUCAGGAUUGCAAUGAGUAGAAUUUAAACCCCUUUGCGAGGAUCAAUUGGAGGGCAAGUCUGGUGCCAGCAGCCGCGGUAAUUCCAGCUCCAAUAGCGUAUAUUAAAGUUGUUGCAGUUAAAAAACUCGUANUUGGAUUUCUGGGAAGGUGGCCAAGUCCGCUUUGUUGCGU